rnacentral:misc_RNA from 1 species
AGUAUGAGAAAGGUGAAGCUACAGCCUUUAUGUCCAGAAAUCAGGCCAUCAACAAGCUUCAGCUGACUCUAGCAGACUUCAGACGUCUGUGUAUUCUGAAAGGAAUCUAUCCACAUGAGCCAAAGCACAAGAAAAGAGUUAACAAGGGAAGCACAGUUCACAAGACCUAUUACCUAGUCAAAGACAUCAACUUUUUGGCACAUGAACCAAUCAUCAACAAGUUCAGAGAGUUCAAGCACUUUGUGAGACGCCUGAAAAAAGCUAUCAAUAAACGCAACAAAGAUGCUGAGCAGAGAAUCCGUAACAACAAACCCAAGUACAAGUUAGACCACAUCGUCAGAGAGAGGUACCCCUCCUUCCAAGAUGCCCUUGGGGAUCUGGAUGACUGUCUGUCCAUGUGCUUCUUGUUUGGCACAAUGCCACAGGGGGCUCGAGUUCAUAUGGAAUACAUCAAUCAUGCCAGGAAACUUACAGUGGAGUUUAUGCAUUACAUUAUAGCGUCAAAGUCUUUAAGAAAGGUGUUCAUUUCCAUAAAAGGAAUAUACUUUCAAGCAGAAGUGAUGGGGCAACAGUUGACAUGGGUGGUUCCUCAUGGUCUAGGUUACCAGCACCCAGACGAUGUUGAUUACAGGGUGAUGCAAACGUUUGUGGAGUUUUACACAACAUUGCUGGGCUUCAUUAACUUUAAAUUGUACCAUAGUAUCAAUCUUCACUACCCACCCAAGCUAGAGCUCGAUGCAGCCACUCCAGUAGAUGAAAAUGAAGAAAACAUGACAGAAAAAGAAAGAUAUCAAGAGAGACUGUCGGCCCUGUCCCAGACCCUCAGGUCUCUUGACGAGGGCGGGGGAGAGGAGGAGGUGCAGUUAGAUGAGUUUCCAGCUGUGGAGACGGAUGACCCAGACAGAGUAGAGAAGGCCAAGGUAGAAGCAGAGAAAAUCAAAAAGUUACAAAACUUGUUCAAAGGCCUGAAAUUUUUCCUGAACAGAGAGGUACCAAGGGAAACAUUGGUAUUCAUCAUCAGGAGUUUUGGGGGAGAUGUUUCAUGGCACAAAUCCGUGGCUGUUGGUGCCACUUAUCCCGAGUCAGACGAAUCAAUAACGCACCAGAUAGUGGACAGGCCCCAGACCAAGAAUCAGUAUCUCUCCAGGUACUAUGUGCAGCCUCAGUGGGUGUUUGACUGUGUGAACAAUACUUCCCUCCUUCCCAUGGAGAGCUACUUCCCGGGAGCCACCCUCCCCCCUCAUCUGUCUCCGUUUGUGGAGGAGGCGGAAGGAGAUUAUGUGCCUCCGGAGAGACAGGCAUUGAUCAACAGACAACUAGGACUGCAGGAGGACUCGGGUAGGAGUAGAGGAAGAUGAGGAAGGAAGUGAAGAUGAGGAAGAGGAUGAAGAAGAGGAGGAAGAAGAAGAAAGUGAGGAAGAGGAAGAAGAACCAGAGAAAGGUCGAGGAAAAAGAAAAAGAAAACAUGAGACUGAGGCAGCAACUGCAGAUCAAGCUAAGAAGUUGAACAUGUCAGUAGAGGCUGGCGCUCCUGAGAAUUUCAAUGUGGAACAAAAACUCCAGCGACAGACGAUGGAGGAAAGAAGACUGGCAGAAAUGAUGAUUCCAAAGAAAAAGAAGCGCCUGUAUGAUAAGAUCAUGUUCGCCAAGAAGAAGAAAAACCAGGAGACAAGGAAACUAAAAGAAAAACGGGAGGCCAUAGAGACGCAGAAGAAGUCUGAGAGUAAGAAAAAGAAGAAAAAGCAAUAACAAUCUAUUUGUGAUAUGGGGAAUGGGAUGGUUGGUGUUUGUUGAUAAUAAAAAAUGUCACACAC